rnacentral:rRNA from 1 species
UACGUGGGGUGCAAGCGUUGUUCGGAAUUACUGGGCGUAAAGGGCUCGUAGGCGGCCAACUAAGUCGGAUGUGAAAUCCCCAGGCUUAACCUGGGAACUGCAUCCGAUACUGGAUGGCUUGAAUCCGGGAGAGGGAUGCAGAAUUCCAGGUGUAGCGGUGAAAUGCGUAGAUAUCUGGAGGAAUACCGGUGGCGAAGGCGGCAUCCUGGACCGGCAUUGACGCUGAUGAGCGAAAGCUAGGGGAGCAAACGGG